CAGUAGCCGCGGUAAUACGAAGGGUGCAAGCGUUACUCGGAAUUACUGGGCGUAAAGCGUGCGUAGGUGGUGGUUUAAGUCCGUUGUGAAAGCCCUGGGCUCAACCUGGGAAUUGCAGUGGAUACUGGGUCACUAGAGUGUGGUGGAGGAUAGUGGAAUUUCCGGUGUAGCAGUGAAAUGCGUAGAGAUCGGAAGGAACAUCUGUGGCGAAGGCGACUAUCUGGGCCAACACUGACACUGAGGCACGAAAGCGUGGGGAGCAAACAGGAUUAGAUACCCGUGUAGUCCCUGUCUCUUAUAC
rnacentral:rRNA from 1 species